UUUAACAAAAACAUCUCCUUUUGUGAUUAUAAAAAGUUCGGCCCUGCCCCUUAAGUAWUUAAAGGGCCGCGGUAUUAUGACCGUGCAAAGGUAGCAUAAUCAUUAGUCUUUUAAUUGAAGGCUGGAAUGAAUGGUUUGACGAARCGUUAACUGUCUCAGUAUAAGAUAUWGAAGUUACCUUUUGAGUUAAAAGGCUUAAAUGUWUGUAGAGGACGAGAAGACCCUAUAGAGCUUUAUAUAUAAAUUGAUAUUUGAAUUUAGGAGUGUAUGAUAAUCKUGUGAAGUURUAUUAUGUUGGGGUGACAURAAGAUAUAAUUAACUCUUUAUUUUUGGGACAUUGAUAUAUGUAUUUUUGAUCCA
rnacentral:rRNA from 1 species